rnacentral:rRNA from 1 species
AGCGAACGCUGGCGGCAGGCCUAACACAUGCAAGUCGAACGAACCUUUCGGGGUUAGUGGCGGACGUGAGUAACACGUGGGAACGUGCCUUUAGGUUCGGAAUAACUCAGGGAAACUUGUGCUAAUACCGAAUGUGCCCUUCGGGGGAAAGAUUAAUCGCCUUUAGAGCGGCCCGCGUCUGAUUAGCUAGUUGGUUGAGGUAAUGGCUCACCAAGGCGACGAUCAGUAGCUGGUCUGAGAGGAUGAUCAGCCACAUUGGGACUGAGACACGGCCCAAACUCCUACGGGAGGCAGCAGUGGGGAAUCUUGCGCAAUGGGCGAAAGCCUGACGCAGCCAUGCCGCGUGAAUGAUGAAGGUCUUAGGAUUGUAAAAUUCUUUCACCGGGGACGAUAAUGACGGUACCCGGAGAAGAAGCCCCGGCUAACUUCGUG